rnacentral:rRNA from 1 species
AGCGAACGCUGGCGGCAUGCCUAACACAUGCAAGUCGAACGAGACCUUCGGGUCUAGUGGCGCACGGGUGCGUAACGCGUGGGAACCUGCCCUUAGGUUCGGAAUAACUCCCCGAAAGGGGUGCUAAUACCGGAUAAUAUCUUCUGACCAAAGAAUUAUCGCCUUUGGAUGGGCCCGCGUUGGAUUAGCUAGUUGGUAGGGUAAAAGCCUACCAAGGCGACGAUCCCUAGCUGGUCUGUGAGGAUGACCAGCCACACUGGGACUGAGACACGGCCCAGACUCCUACGGAUGGAAGCAGUGGGGAAUAAUGGACGAUGGGCGAGAGACUGAUCCAGCCAUGCCGCGUAGGUGAUGAAGGCCUUAGGGUUGUAAAGCUCUUGUACCGGGGAUGAUAAUGACAGUACCGGAAGAAUAAGCUACGGCUAACUCCGUG